AUGAACGCUGGCGGCGUGCCUAAUACAUGCAAGUCGCGCGAACAGACGAGGAGCUUGCUCCUCUGACGUUAGCGGCGGCCGGGUGAGUAACACGUGGAUAACCUACCUAUAAGACUGGGAUAACUUCGGGAAACCGGAGCUAAUACCGGAUAAUAUAUUGAACCGCAUGGUUCAAUAGUGAAAGACGGUUUUGCUGUCACUUAUAGAUGGAUCCGCGCCGCAUUAGCUAGUUGGUAAGGUAACGGCUUACCAAGGCAACGAUGCGUAGCCGACCUGAGAGGGUGAUCGGCCACACUGGAACUGAGACACGGUCCAGACUCCUACGGGAGGCAGCAGUAGGGAAUCUUCCGCAAAGGGCGAAAGCCUGACGGAGCAACGCCGCGUGAGUGAUGAAGGUCUUCGGAUCGUAAAACUCUGUUAUUAGGGAAGAACAAAUGUGUAAGUAACUAUGCACGUCUUGACGGUACCUAAUCAGAAAGCCACGGCUAACUACGUG
rnacentral:rRNA from 1 species